rnacentral:rRNA from 1 species
CCUACGGGAGGCAGCAGUAGGGAAUCUUCCGCAAUGGACGAAAGUCUGACGGAGCAACGCCGCGUGAGCGAUGAAGGCCUUCGGGUCGUAAAGCUCUGUUGUCAGGGAAGAACAAGUAUCGGAGUAACUGCCGGUACCUUGACGGUACCUGACCAGAAAGCCACGGCUAACUACGUGCCAGCAGCCGCGGUAAUACGUAGGUGGCAAGCGUUGUCCGGAAUUAUUGGGCGUAAAGCGCGCGCAGGCGGUUCCUUAAGUCUGAUGUGAAAGCCCCCGGCUCAACCGGGGAGGGUCAUUGGAAACUGGGGAACUUGAGUGCAGAAGAGGAGAGCGGAAUUCCACGUGUAGCGGUGAAAUGCGUAGAGAUGUGGAGGAACACCAGUGGCGAAGGCGGCUCUCUGGUCUGUAACUGACGCUGAGGCGCGAAAGCGUGGGGAGCAAACAGGAUUAGAUACCCUGGUAGUCCACGCCGUAAACGAUGAGUGCUAAGUGUUAGGGGGUUUCCGCCCCUUAGUGCUGCAGCUAACGCAUUAAGCACUCCGCCUGGGGAGUACGGCCGCAAGGCUGAAACUCAAAGGGAAUUGACGG